UUCUUUUUUUUUUACCCGUCGUCACCCUACUUCUCCACGCCGCACCAUCUCCCCUCUUCUUCUUCCUCUCCUCUCCAACUCGACGGCCACCCGAUCAUCUUCCCUAACUCGUCGCCACCUCGCGACGCCUCGCCUUCUCCCCGCAUACAAGACUCCUCGGCCAAGGAAGCCUCAAGCCGAUCCCUCCCAUUCUUCUCCUCCUCUGCCCCAUCGUUCCUUACCGCGAAAAUCCCCAAAUCGCACCGAGCAGCAUCGUCGCCACUCCGAUCCAAAGUCGUGCCCUAACUUGAUCCACCGCCACUCGACCCGUGCUCUACUCCCUGAGUGUCGGCGCCACUCGACCGUCGGCCAACAGCCUUGAACCGGCCAAGAGAAGGAGAUCCGAGCCCUAGCUGACAGUCCAUCAUCGGCGAUCUUCUUCCUCCCUUGUCAUAGUCGGAGCAGAGCUGCCUUCCCUCUGCCCUAGCGUAGCGUCGGCAGCCUGAUCCCUUUCCACCUCCGACAAAGGCAAGUUGUCUUUGCUGUGGAACACCAGCUGAGGCUUCAGAUUUGGUAACUUCAUAGCAACACCAGUUUGCUCCGGCCAUGUUUUUCCGACAGCAAGCACAUCCGGCAGUGACUCAACAAUUGGGCAUUCAGGUUUGAGUGAUAUUCCAUGUGUUGAGUUUCAGCAAAUUGCUGCUUAUUGGUAAGACUUGACUUAUUUCGAGUAGAGUUUAUGGAUGAAUAGGUGUUCUGGGUAGCUGUUGGCAUAGGCUUAUAAGGCUGUAAGUUUUAUAUUUCGGCUAUAUCUUAACGUAAGAAUGUUGUACAGUGAAGUAAAGAAAGAAUUGUUACUAGAUUUGGUUUGGGCUUAGAUUUAAAUCCAAUGGAAUA